rnacentral:rRNA from 1 species
GGGGAAUUUUCCGCAAUGGGCGAAAGCCUGACGGAGCAAGACCGCGUGGGGGAAGAAGGCUCUUGGGUUGUAAACCCCUUUUCUCUGGGAAGAAAGUUGUGAAAGCAACCUGACGGUACCAGAGGAAUCAGCACCGGCUAACUCCGUGCCAGCAGCCGCGGUAAGACGGAGGAUGCAAGCGUUAUCCGGAAUGAUUGGACGUAAAGCGUCCGCAGGUGGCAGUUCAAGUCUGCUGUCAAAGACCGGGGCUUAACCUCGGAAAGGCAGUGGAAACUGAACAGCUAGAGUAUGGUAGGGGCAGAGGGAAUUCCUGGUGUAGCGGUGAAAUGCGUAGAGAUCAGGAGGAACAUCGGUGGCGAAGGCGCUCUGCUGGACCAUAACUGACACUCAGGGACGAAAGCUAGGGGAGCGAAUGGGAUUAGAUACCCCAGUAGUC